UGAGGAAUAUUGGUCAAUGGGCGAGAGCCUGAACCAGCCAAGUAGCGUGCAGGAUGACGGCCCUAUGGGUUGUAAACUGCUUUUAUACGGGGAUAAAGUUGGGGACGUGUCCCCAUUUGUAGGUACCGUAUGAAUAAGGACCGGCUAAUUCCGUGCCAGCAGCCGCGGUAAAUACGGAAGGUCCGGGCGUUAUCCGGAUUUAUUGGGUUUAAAGGGAGCGUAGGCCGGAGAUUAAGCGUGUUGUGAAAAUGUAGGAGCUCAACUUCUGCACUGCAGCGCGAACUGGCUUCCUUGAGUACGUAGGAAGUUGGCGGAAUUCGUGGUGUAGCGGUGAAAAUGCUUAGAUAUCACGAAGAAACUCCGAUUGCGAAAGGCAGCUGACUGUAUCGUAACUGACGCUGAAAGCUCGAAAAGUGUGGUAUCGAACAGGAUUAGAUACC
rnacentral:rRNA from 1 species